rnacentral:rRNA from 1 species
GGACUACCCGGGUUUCUAAUCCUGUUUGCUCCCCACGCUUUCGCGUCUCAGCGUCAGUCACUGUCCAGAAGGCCGCCUUCGCCACCGGUGUUCCUCUCGAUAUCUACGAAUUUCACCUCUACACCGAGAAUUCCGCCUUCCUCUCCAGGACUCAAGCCUCGCAGUUUCGAAUGCACUUCCCAGGUUGAGCCCGGGGCUUUCACAUCCGACUUACAAGGCAGCCUACACGCGCUUUACGCCCAGUAAUUCCGAACAACGUUUGCACCCUCUGUCUUACCGCGGCUGCUGGCAC